UACAGAGGUCUCAAGCGUUGUUCGGAUUCAUUGGGCGUAAAGGGUGUGUAGGUGGCGCCGUAAGUCGGGUGUGAAAUUUCGGAGCUUAACUCCGAAACUGCAUUCGAUACUGCGGUGCUUGAGGACUGGAGAGGAGACUGGAAUUUAUGGUGUAGCAGGUGAAAUGCGUAGAGUAUCAUGAGGAAGACCAGUGGCGAAGGCGGGUCUCUGGACAGUUCCUGACACUGAGACACGAAGGCCAGGGGAGCAAACGGG
rnacentral:rRNA from 1 species